UCGGAGUUAGUUUAGCUGGUAGAACGCCAGGCUUUGAACCUGGUAACGUAGGAUCGUAGCCUACACUCCGAG
rnacentral:tRNA from 1 species